GCGAGAGUGGUGGAAUUGGCAGACACGCCAGACUUAGGAUCUGGUGCCCGAAAGGGUAUAAGGGUUCAAAUCCCUUCUCUCGCA
rnacentral:tRNA from 1 species